AUUGAACGCUGGCGGCAGGCCUAACACAUGCAAGUCGAGCGGAGCGGCGGACGGGUGAGUAAUGCCUAGGAAUCUGCCUGGUAGUGGGGGAUCACGUCCGGAAACGGGCGCUAAUACCGCAUACUAUCAGAUGAGCCUCGGUCGGAUUAGCUAGUUGUUGGGGUAAAGGACUACCAAGGCGAAGAUCCGUAACUGGUCUGAUAGGAUGAUCCGUCACACUGGAACUGAGACACGGUCCAGACUCCUACGGGAGGCAGCAGUGGGGAAUAUUGGACAAUGGACGAAAGCCUGAUCCAGCCAUGCCGCGUGUGUGAAGAAGGUCUUCGGAUUGUAAAGCACUGUAAGUUGUGAGGCGUUACCUACAGAAUAAGCACCGGCUAACUUCGUGCCAGCAGCCGCGGUAAUUC
rnacentral:rRNA from 1 species